UGAACCUAUGCAACGACAUGUUUUAGUUUGGAAUUUCUCCUUCUCUCCAUAGCCUUUCUGAUCUCCCACGAACCCUUCCCCCUUCUCCUUCCCCUUCUCUUUCUUCUUUUGAUCUCCAUGUACCCUUCCUCCUCUUCUCCAUCUCCAUCCUUAUCUUCUCAAUAUCAUUUGAAACUGAUCUUCUCCAUCUCCAUCUUCGUGAGUUUCAUCUCCUCUUAUCUUCUCCAUCUUCGCGUCUCCUCUGAUCCACUGAGUUUCCUCAUCAAGAUCUGUUUUCAUCUGCUUAAGUUUUGCAAGUCUGUUUCCUCUUCAACCCACGAAGCCUUAUUUUCCCCAUUCACCAAAUCUUAUCCUCCUUGCCAACACCCAUCCCAAAACCCUAACCCUAACCCUAACCCUAACCCUAACCUAGCCCCUUCCCCUUCGUCCCUAAUUUUUGGACGUUGGGUUUGGGCAUUAGGCAAAUGGCCAGAGAACCCACUAGUUUGAGAACCGGCCCACUCGUUUAUUUAUUAUUUUGACUUGAGCCAGGAAUUGAGCCCAUGGCUGCAAUCGAGUUAGAAUGUCUCCAUGGGUGUCUCGUCCAUUUCCAUGGGUGUCUCUGUGAACAAGUGGGUGCUUGUCCAGCAUGUAAGAGGCAAUUUGCUGGUUACAAGAACCAAAUGAUUCAUUGCACAAGCUGUGGUCCUGUGGAAACGUCGUAUGGCAGCUGAAAGGGGACGACUUGUUUUCAAGAGAUGGGAGGGGCACCACUACUUCAAAGUUUGACCCUGAGAUUAUAGACGUGGAGUUUGAGGAUAGAAGAGCUCAAGAAUUCGAAACUGAAGCACCAUGUAUUGGAACCAAUGGCUAUACUAUAUUGGACAAAUAUUUUUAUUUUUAGUUGAAGAGAUUUUUAUUUGUAGUUAUUUUUGUAUGGUAUGAGAAAUUUUAUGUGGAAAUAUGAUGUUGGUGCUAGCAGCUUUACACCA